UGAGAUGCUUAUUGGUUGUUGUGUGC
rnacentral:piRNA from 1 species